rnacentral:misc_RNA from 1 species
CGUCGAACCACAUUAAAUUUUGUAUUCUUUAUUUUCUAUGGGUCUGAUUUUCACAACAAAGACACUUGUAUCAUUUGUCGGUUUGUGAGAGAAUAAACACAUUCUUGAUUUCUGAUCCAUUUGAUAAGUUUCAUAACUUUUCAUAUUUAGAAGAAUCAUGCUCCAUAUUUUCUUUUGCUAGAAAUUCUCAUUUGCAAACAGAGUGAUUACUCUUUCUCUUGCAAGCCUUGUGGGGUUGGAUCAGGAGUAAAUCACGGUGAGGAAGGAGGGAGACUUCCUUGCAGGAAUGACGAAAUCAUGGUGAGUGCACGCUCUGGUUGGUAGCUUGGAACCAGAUGUCCUGCUCCUCUUACUGUCACAAAUGUCAAUCCUUCAUAUUCCACCACAUAACCUCCAACCUGUCAUCAGUAAAUUCUUUUUCCAUUAUGUUUGAAUUGCUACUCUACAUGAACUCCCUGCCAAAAACUAUAUGAACUUUGGUUCCUGGCAAACAUAUAUGAACUUAUGUGUUAAUGGUGAUCAGUGGCCCUUCUGAAGUUUUUCUAUCAUUUUGCAGGUAGGUCUUUUUAUCCUGUACUAGUUUUGGAGAUUUAGUAAGUGCUCAUAAGGGGACAUGGGAAUGGUGCAGGGUGCAGGGUGUACUUAGAUGAGCUCAUCCAGGAGAAAGAAUCAGCUUAUAGAAAGUUGUUUCAUCACAGUCAUUUUAGUUCUUUAUUAAUUAUACUUCUCAAUUCUAAAGGAAAUGGGAUCAAAAUGAAUCAUAGCCAAGUCAAUGAAAAGUAAUUAUUACUUUACUACCUCUUUGUUGGUGUGCCACGGCUGCCACGGGGUCUUGAUGGGAAGCUUGAGACUGUUUAUUGAGUACCUGGAUGAUGUAACUGGCACAUUUCCAUCUGUGUCACCACUGUACAUCCAGACUCUGAUGCCACUUGCCAUCAGAUUCUUGAUUAUGGGCAGAACAGUAACUGGGCUAUCUGUCCAGUUAAAGCCACUGCACACAGAUACCAUGAGAGUGUUUUUCUCAAAUCAACAAGAAUUAUACUAUUUAAAAAUCAAUUAUCAAGAUUACCUGCAAUGGCUCCAUUUUGUGGGAUUUGCAUGCAAGGCAAUUUGCAUCUCUGCAGUAUUCAGAUAAGAUUCUACAUACGAGUAUGAGCAGGGAUUGAAGUAAUAAACAGAACCAGUCGACCUAUUGAGUGCAGUGUCAUGGCAAAGUGGGGCAUAUAUGUUGUAAAAAUCAAUUUGGCCCUUCUCAGAUAAGGCUUUCAUUUUGGAGUUGUCGCAUUCUUCAGAAUAAUUGCCCCCAGAAUAACAAAACUUGUGGAUAGCUUCCUUUGUUUCAUCUGAGAUUAAAGCAUGGCUCCAUAGAUAAUCAUAUACUCCCUUUGCAUCUUUAAGAUCAUCAACCCAUGCAUUUCCUAUCGCAAUGCCUUUUAGAUUAAUGAUGGUUUGAUUUGUUUUCUUAUUGUUCUGCAGAAUUGUGUAUGCAAGCUGAGGUACAUAAUGACCAGCAUAGCUUUCUCCAGUUAAGAAAAAAUCUCUAGUCUUGAAAUGUGGGAACCUCUCGAACCAGUUGACAAGAAAAGUAUAGGUAUCAUCAGCAGUACUCUUAUCACCAGCGACCGUAAGGUCAUAGUCAGAAGAGCUAUUUGAGUAGGAGAAGCCUACGCCAGCAGGAGAUUCCAAGAAGAUCACAUUUGCCACAUUAUUCCAUGCAUAAUUAUUUCUGAAGAGUGUUUUCCCGUCACUAUUUACUCUGAAAGGUCCUAAUUCCUCCAUGGCUCCAUACCCAAGAGAGGAACAUCCAGGUCCUCCAUUGAGCCACAGAACCAGAGGCUUGGUCAAAAAGUUCUGUGGGGACUCCACAAAGUAGUAGAACAGUGCUCUACCAGCCUUUGGAUCAACAGUCACAUACCCCGAAUACUGAUCAAAAUCCACUCCAUCAGGUUGGCCAGGCAAGGCAACAAUCUUGUCAGCUUGCAUUAGCCCAUGUUGAGGCUCAAUGUGCAUGGGAGAGUAUUCAGUUUUAGCCUGUAGUUCAGGCCAUGACUGUGGAAUAGGAGGAUUUUGUGACCUUCUGGAUUUAAGCAGCCUGUCAAGGCUAUCAGCUUGAUUGGCUUCACAAAAAGCAAGCAGUGCCAAGAGGCAAUUAGUUAAAAACAGGCACAUACACAGUGUUAAUUUCAUCAUGUUUUUGCCUUCUUGGCAUGGUAGGGUGUGUCAAAAUGGUCCAUAAAUAGCUGGAGUGGAAUGUUAUAUUGAUGCACUUGUUUUGUUUUCUAGUACUUGUGGGUAUCUUUUAAGAACACAAUGACAGCUUAAUCUGUAAUAACUUUUGCAGGAAUUCAAACAAGCCGGCUG